GCCUGGGGGCAGAGCGAGGCCUGCAGCGCCCCAUCCCCGCACGGGGCGCGAGCGCAGCCAGCUGGGCAGAUACGUUCCGUGAAUCACACACUGAGCGCCGCGGGGGCAGCCCUCCGCCCCUGCCCAGCUGUAGAGCGGUCACGUGACCAGCCCAGCAAUCGGCCGCCCGCUGUUUUCAUUGGUGCAAAGAGCCUCCCCUCCUCCGGAGCAAACAGGUGCGCAUGAGCUAUUGGGCCACGCCCCCCGUCACUUCCGCCUUGCUCUGGUAGGCGAAGCAGGAGCUACCGCGGAGGGCGAGCGAUGGAGGCGGCGGGGCUGGAGCAGCGGCAGCGAGGCCCGGAGCCAGCGCCGGCCACAGCGAAUGGCGACUGCAGCCGCCCCCUGUCGCUCUCCGGACAGUCCUACUGGCUCGACGUGUGGCUCUUCGUCCUCUUCGAUCUGGCGCUGCUCGUCUUCGUCUAUCUGUUGCCCUGAGCCCGCGGUGGCAGCUCCUAUUCAAGAUGAGGAACCUUAUUUAUAAAAACAUGCUUUGGAAGAGGAAGACACUACAUGCAACAGGACAACUGGAAAUGAGACUCUCAAACCUGUUAAGCCAGAGUGCUAGUGCUACACAUUGAUCCAUUCAUGGAUGUACUGAUUUGAGGGGGUCUGGUUCAUCUACUUCAGUGACCACGUAAAUUGUGCCUUAAGUUAAAUUUCAAAAGUUUGAGGAUACUCUAGUUUCCAUAACAGUAAUAUAGAUUGCUCAUUUGUCUUCUACAUAAUGUUCAGUGUUUGAAUAAAGAUCAAUUGAAAAAAAUGGAA